CUUAAUUCAUGUGGAACAAAAGAUUUAUCCGAUGAGAGUAAUGAUCAAAGUGGGAUUUAUGGCUCUCUUAAUUUUGAUGUUGGCAAUGGGGGUAGUGCCGUAAUUGAUCCUUCGGUGUCAAAUGCCAUUUUGGACGAUCUCUGUACGUCAAAGGAUGUUGAUUUUCAGAAUCCUUCAAAUUGUCUGGUUGGCAACUUUAACUCGAGCCAGGAUGUUCAGUCUCAGAUUACUUCAGCAAGCCUGGCAGACUCGCAAGCUUUCUCACAGCAGGACUUUCCAGACAGCUCAGGUGGCACACCUUCUAGCAAUUUGGAUUUUGAGAAGGGCAAUUAUAUGCAGAAUAACUCAUGGCAGCAAGUUGCUCCACGAGUGCGAACAUACACAAAGGUUCAAAAGGCCGGCUCAGUUGGUAGAUCAAUAGAUGUCUCAAGUUUUAAAAACUAUGAAGAAAUAUGUUCUGCAAUUGAAUGCAUGUUCGGACUUGAGGGGCUGCUUAAUAAUCCAAGAGAGUCUGGGUGGAAGCUGGUAUACGUUGACUACGAGAAUGAUGUUCUACUUAUUGGAGAUGAUCCUUGGGAGGAAUUUGUUGGCUGUGUACGUUGCAUAAGGAUUCUGUCACCUUCAGAAGUUCAGCAGAUGAGCGAGGAGGGAAUGAAGCUUCUUAACAACCCUAAUAUCCAGGGCCUCGCUGCUUCCAUUACAGAAGGUGGCCGUGCUUGAGAUUGUGCUUGACAUUGAACAAUGGCGUUACCCAAAGCAACUUCUUUGAAUGGUGUAACAUCUCGAUCGACUCUUGCCAAGUUUACGAUUUACUGAUACCACAGUGACGGUGAGUGAUGUGGGCACUACUGUGUUAGAAUGGCUUUAGAUGUAAUCUAUGAAAUAUGAGAUGACAUUUGUUCACGUCAUGCAUGAGAUACUUUAUAAUAUCGUGUUGUACAAGCCCUUUUAGUUUGCUAUGUGGUGGUAAUUACAUAAUGGAUUUUUUUUUUCUUAGGU
rnacentral:misc_RNA from 1 species